AGCGGAGGCGGGGACUUGAGCGGUUCUGAGACUGCCUCAUAGGGCCUGGCCGGCGCUGGAGCUGCGGAUUUAGGUUGUCACUGCGACCUCCGUCGGUGCAUACUUCGCUGCCAGCUGGUCGUCGCCAUGAACCCGGACCUGCGCAGGGAGCGGGAUUCCGCCAGCUUCAACCCGGAGCUGCUUACACAUAUCCUGGACGGCAGCCCCGAGAACACCCGGCGCCGCCGAGAGAUCGAGAACAUGAUCCUGAACGACCCAGACUUCCAGCAUGAGGACUUGAACUUCCUCACUCGCAGCCAGCGUUAUGAGGUGGCUGUCAGGAAAAGUGCCAUCAUGGUGAAGAAGAUGAGGGAGUUUGGCAUCGCAGACCCUGAUGAAAUUAUGUGGUUUAAAAAACUACAUUUGGUCAAUUUUGUGGAACCUGUGGGCCUCAAUUACUCCAUGUUUAUUCCCACCUUGCUGAAUCAGGGCACCACUGCUCAGAAAGAGAAAUGGCUGCCUUCAUCCAAAGGACUCCAGAUAAUUGGCACCUACGCCCAGACGGAAAUGGGCCACGUUUUGUGCACCGAGGGCGGCCUGAGCCUCUGGAUCUUCACUUGGGCAUGUUCCUGCCCACCUUGCUUCACCAGGCAACUGCGGAGCAGCAGGAGCGCUUCUUCAUGCCCGCCUGGAACUUGGAGAUCAUUGGCACUUAUGCCCAGACAGAGAUGGGUCAUGGAACUCACCUUCGAGGCUUGGAAACCACAGCCACAUAUGACCCUGAAACCCAGGAGUUCAUUCUCAACAGUCCUACUGUGACCUCCAUUAAAUGGUGGCCUGGUGGACUUGGAAAGACUUCAAAUCAUGCAAUAGUUCUUGCCCAGCUCAUCACUAAGGGGAAAUGCUAUGGAUUACAUGCCUUUAUUGUACCUAUUCGUGAAAUCGGGACCCAUAAGCCUUUGCCAGGAAUUACCGUUGGCGACAUCGGCCCCAAAUUUGGUUAUGAUGAGAUGGACAAUGGCUACCUCAAAAUGGACAACUAUCGUAUUCCCAGAGAAAACAUGCUGAUGAAGUAUGCCCAGGU